GUAACCUUUACUCUCUGUUCCAGGUGGGUGGGUGAGUAACCUUUACUCUCUGUUCCAGGGGUUCAUUUCUACACCCCCCCGUGUUUCCAGUGAUCCUCUCCUCCUCAGAGUACAGCAAUUCUCAUAAAUUCAGCUCUCUGACUCCAAGCUGAAUUUCAAAGCGACUGACACCACAGAAGAUGCAUGCAGCCAAACAGAACAACAAAAGGCUUUGAGAGUCUCGAUUGUGAAGCUUUUUUUCUCUCUCUCACAAUCACACUCACUCUCCCUCUCUGCCGCACUGGGAGUUAUUCAACCUGUUUGUGCCUGGGCUGCUGGUCAUUUCUGAAGCACUAUCGUUUGUCUCUGUCAGACAACCAAAUGACUCUGGAAUGAAGAGGGACACAUGAAGGGGGACCGGCGGAGAGAUGUGCCUCUACCAACCCCCCUAGCUAUCCACCGCUAUCCGACACACACACACACACACCACACACACACCAAUCUCUCAGCCGAUCCCUGCCAAUGAUCCUACUCAAUCACACCCUCCCCACUCCAGAAAUGACUACCCACCAACAUACCCCUCCUCACCCCAGACUCCUCAAGCUUGCUGCUGAUGUGGUUUUUUAAAGAUCCUAUUCUGGAUUUUCUACUUUGUCCGUCUGAUAUUUCACUGUGCGGUUUACAUCGGUAGUAUUCUGUCAUGUGACAAAUAAACUGGUUUGACCUGGAGUGGGGGCACAGCACCACCCGUUUGGGUUCCUGACACAAAUGUCAUUGAAAAUACCAUCUAACAGAGGAGAACAAAGUAGCAGGGUAGUUGUGCUGUGAGUGUUACAAGAUACGUGUGUGUGUGUGUGUGUGUGUGUGUGUGUUACAAGAUAAAUGAGUCUCUCAAUAGCGUUCUCUAUUGGGGAGACGAGGCGCGGGUGUUUGGGCUGAUAAGGACUUCCUGGCAUUGAGGGGAAAAAGGAAACAGUGUUACAUAGUAGAUAGCAACCAAUGUCGCUUAUUAGAAUAGAAUAAAACUUUAUUGUACAAUGUCAAUCAGGAAAUUAAUCUAAGGAUGGUGUGGCAAGAGGGAAGAAUAAAAUAGCGUUUUUGCAUUUGGUUUAGUA